GUGUCAGCAGCCGCGGUAAUACGGAGGGUGCGAGCGUUGUCCGGAAUCACUGGGCGUAAAGGGCGCGUAGGUGGUUCGGUAAGUUGCUGGUGAAAUCCCGGGGCUCAACUCCGGGGCUGCCGGCAAGACUGUCGGACUUGAGCACGGUAGGGGCAGAUGGAAUUCCCGGUGUAGCGGUGGAAUGCGUAGAUAUCGGGAAGAAUACCAGUGGCGAAGGCGUUCUGCUGGGCCGUUGCUGACACUGAGGCGCGACAGCGUGGGGAGCAAACAGGAUUAGAAACCCGGGUAGUCC
rnacentral:rRNA from 1 species